AAUAUUGCGCAAUGGCCGAAAGGCUGACGCAGCGACGCCGCGCGCGGGAGGAAGCCCUUCGGGGCGUAAACCGCUGUCAGGGGGGACGAACCGCCCGGGUGGGCAUACUGCCCCGGUCUGACGGUACCCCCAGAGGAAGCACCGGCUACCUCCGUGCCAGCAGCCGCGGUAAUACGGAGGGUGCGAGCGUUGUGCGGAAUUACUGGGCGUAAAGCGGGCGCAGGCGGAUGUGCAAGUCGAAGGUGAAAUCCCGGGGCUCAACCCUGGGACUGCUCUCGAUACUGCAUGUCUAGGGACCGGUAGAGGUCGGUGGAAUUCCCGGUGUAGCGGUGGAAUGCGUAGAUAUCGGGAGGAACACCUGUGGCGAAGGCGGCCGACUGGGCCGGAUCCGACGCUGAGGCGCGAAAGCGUGGGGAGCAAAC
rnacentral:rRNA from 1 species